rnacentral:rRNA from 1 species
GUAGGUGGCAAGCGUUGUCCGGAAUUAUUGGGCGUAAAGCGCGCGCAGGGCGGUCCUUUAAGUCUGAUGUGAAAGCCCACGGCUCAACCGUGGAGGGUCAUUGGAAACUGGGGGACUUGAGUACAGAAGAGGAAAGCGGAAUUCCAAGUGUAGCGGUGAAAUGCGUAGAGAUUUGGAGGAACACCAGUGGCGAAGGCGGCUUUCUGGUCUGUAACUGACGCCGAGGCGCGAAAGCGUGGGGAGCAAACAGGAUUAGAUACCCUGGUAGUCCACGCCGUAAACGAUGAGUGCUAAGUGUUAGGGGGUUUCCGCCCCUUAGUGCUGCAGCUAACGCAUUAAGCACUCCGCCUGGGGAGUACGGCCGCAAAGGCUG